CUUGGCCCACUGCAACCUCUGUCUCCUAGGUUCAAAGUGAUUCAAGCGAUUCUCCUGCCUCAACCUCCAGAAUAGCCAGGACUACAGUUCCAGCCUGUCUCCAGACCCAAAGAGAGUUCAUCACCCCUUGACUGAAUAGAGCCUCUGGACUUCAGCUUCCAGUGGUUAGCAGCACCACCUCACUCCAGGAGAGCUGCAGGACCAGGCAGCUCUGUGCUCCCUUCUGUGUUUUAUCUGAUGGCAUUUAAAAAUUACAUAAGAUAAUAAUAGAGAAUAAUAUCCUCACCCCAUUAAUGUGUCACACAACAAUAUUUUGGUCAACAACAGACCGCAUAUACACUGUGGUCCCAUAAGAUUAUAAUGGAUCUGAAAAAAUUCCUGUUGCUUAGUGAUGUCUUAAUGACCCUGUGUAGGCCCAGGCUAACAAGUGUGUUUUGGUCUUACUUUUUAACAAAAAAAUGUUAACGGCAAAAAACAAUCAAAAUAAAAAAUAAAUAAAUAAAUAGAAAAAAACUUCUAGAAUAAAGAUAUACAGAAGGAAAAUAUUUUUGUGUACAACGUCUUUGUGCUUUUGUUGCCUGUUUAGGGUAGUUGUCCAGGUUCUUGGCGUUUUUAACAGAGAAUUGAACAAAACACACAAACAAAGCAAGGCAGUGAAGGCAGGGAUUUAAACAAAGUACACUCCAUAGGGAAGGAAAGGCCUUGAGCAAGCAGCUCAAGAGCAUUGAUUACAGAAUUUUCUGGGGUUUAAAUACCCUCUAUAGGUUUCCCACUGGUUCAUUCUGCGCAAAUCAGUCUGAUUGGUUGCAGGAGGGAACCGGUUGGAGGUACUUUCAUUUUCAACUGCCACACAGAAAAAGGAGGGGUUGCAACUGCCACAUAGCAACUGACACGCCGAAAAAGGAGGCGUUGCAACUGCCACACAGAAAAAGGAGGGGUUGCAACUGCCACGCAGCAACUGCCACGCAGAAAAAGGAGGGGUUGCAACUGCCACGCAGCAACUGCCACGCAGAAAAACGAGGGGUUGCAACUGCCACGCAGCAACUGCCACACAGAAGAAGGAGGGACUGCAACUGCCAUGCAGCAACUGCCACACAGAAAAAGGAGGGGUUGCAACUGCCACGCAGAAAAAGGAGGGGUUGCAACUGCCACGCAGCAACUGCCACGCAGAAAAAGGAGGGGUUGAAAAGGGAGUAGCUUCUGAUAUUCAGAAGCUAUUGGAAGAGAUGCUCAAAGAAGAAAAAAUUACCAUAAUCCAAUAAAGAAGAAGACCUGAGAUCCAGGAAGCAGAUGAUCUGAACUGCAGAGAAAGUUCAGGAAAGUUCCCUCAUUCAUGAUGAUGGGAAAUAACAGUAAAUUCUGUACAGCAGUCUUGGACAACAACCAAUCUAAACUGGCACAGUGCAGAGGCAAUCAACAGAGAACAUAAUAUUGAUAGAAUGCCUGACGCUUUUGAUUGUAUUCACAGGAAACAUAAACAAUUGGAAGACAGUUUAUGAAUGAAUUAGUGAUAAGCAUUUUUUUUCAACUUUUAUUUUAGAUUCAAGGGUACAUGUGCAGGUUUGGUGCCUGGGUAUACUGGGUGAUGCUGAGGUUUGUGUUACAAAUGAUCCCAUCAUCCAGGUACUGAGCAUGGUAUCCAGUAGUUAGUUUUUAACCCUUCUCCUGUCUCUCUCCUGGUGGUCCCCAGUUUCUACUGUUGCCAUCUUUAUGUCCAUGAGUAUACAAUGUUUAGCUCCCACUUGUGAGAACAUGCGUAUUUGCCUAUUUAAUUAUUUGUUUAUUUGUUGAGACAUAGUUUCACUCUCUAGCCCGAUCUUGGCUCACUGCAACCUACGCUUCCUGUGUUCAAGCGAUUCUCUUGCCUCGGCCUCCCCAGUAGCUGAGAUUACAGGCACCUACUACCAUGCCUGACUAAUUUUUGUAUUUUAAUAGAGAUAGGGUUGCACCCUGUUGGCCAGGCUGGUUUCAAAUUCCUGAUCUCAAGCGAUCCACUCACCUUGGCCUCCCAAACGGCUGGGAUUACAGGCUUGAGCCACCACGCCCAGCCACUAUUUGCUUUUCUAUUCCUGCAUUAAUUUGCUUAGGAUAAUAGCCCUCAACUUCAUCCAUUUUGCUGCAAAGAAAAUAAUUUUGUUCUUUUUUAGGGCUGCAUAGUAUUCCAUGGUGUAUAUGUACCACAUUUGUUUUAUUUAAUCCACUGUUGAUGGACACCUGGGUUUAUUCUAUGCCUUUGCUACUACAAAUAGGGCUGUGAUGAACAUGCAAAGGCAUGUGUCUCCUUGAGAUAAAUAUUUUAAAAAUACAAUAAAAUCAAAAAAAUUAAUGUCAGGGCUAACAUACAGUUAUUAGAAAAAAAAAUAUUUUGUUAUUAUAGAUAGACACUAGCUUUAACAUAAUAAUAGUUAUGUAAGUAGUCGAAGUUCAUAUGAUCAAAAUUAUUAUUUAGCUGUUUUAAAAGAAUGCAGAUAUAAGAGAUAUACCAUUAAUGGUGAAUAGUUCCAGUAAAAGCAAGCUAAGCUCUCUUUCACAUUCCAUAGAGGGAAUUUAAUAAGCCCUGAAACCGAAAGUUCAAGAAGGAAAAGUGCAAGUCCUACAUGAAUUGAUCAAUGAUUGCCUCUGGAAAUUAUUGGUGUGAAUGGGGAGGCAAAAUUGCUAGUUUGGUUAAUAAGCUAUGUAACUGUUUGAUAAUUCUUCACUUGCAUGUAAACUUCGGUACAAAUAAAAGCUAAUGAAAACAGAGACAGAAUUAUUAAAUCAUCAUAACAUAAAGUUAACAUUUUUCAUCAUUUUUCACUUGUUCAAAGAUCAUAAGAAAUUUUCAUCUUAAUUUUCAAGCAUCAACUAAUGUUUCUACUCUCCCUGAGUACCAUAAAAAGCCUUCUGUGGACAGUCUAAGUGACAAUGACACAUUAGAUUUGGCAAAAAUUACUUUCAGAUGUAAAUCAAUUUGAGAAUGAACUGAUGCUCUGAAACCGGAAUUUACUUGUUGCUCAAAUUUGCCCCAAAAUAAAAUAAUUUUCAAUCAUAGGAGAAUUCACAGGGCCCAGCUCUCCAUUGGUGUUCCAAUCUAUUCUCUGACCUCUAUGCUGUACACAAGAAUCCUCAAUGGUUUUUCUGGAACCCAAGACAGAAAUAAUAUCCCAAAUGAUGCUUGCUCUAAGAGUAUCACUCACCCAGGGGGUUUACCCCCUGCAACUUUCCCUUUUACCAGUUUUGCUACAGAUUUUUAUGAACUUAGUUCCCCAGUCACCAGGGCCACAGAUGUUUGAAAUACUUUUCUGUCUUUUUUUUUAAGUGAUAAACAACUGAAUUCCUAUUCACUUUUACUCCACGAGUGACUUUACAAUACAUUAAAAAAAGAUAAACUGUCAGUAUUCUUUUCUUUAAAAACUGUAAAAUGCCUUUCCACUUAUUUCUUAUACUAUGUUGUCUCUCAGAUAAUACAUUGAUGCAAUUUUGGAUAAUGUUUUAAUGAAGAAGUUGACAGUAAUGCACAUUAAUUAAAAUAUGUAAAAAUCUAUAUUCAUAACACGACUUUGAAUUUUAAAUGUUUUCAGUGAAAACAUGUCAUAUUGUAGACAUGCUGAGAAAAUUCUACAUAUUUAUUUAUCCAGUCCUCAUCCAACAGAUAUCCCAAUGGCAAUAGAAUGCAAUUUGUGAAAAGGUUUAUAAAAUAAGUGGGUUUAACUGAAAUUCAACUUUCAUUAACUGUUGAUUGAGCACUCUGUCACUAUUUUAAGUAUUAGAAAUACAGUAGUAAACAAAUUCUACCUAAUUCUUGACCUCAGGUACUUUCCAUUUCACUGGUAUUACUUGAUAUUUUUAAAGAUUACACAUAUAGGUCAAUAGAUCUCCAUGAAACAUAAAAAUAGUAAAAAGAAGGAGAAAAAAGAGGAAAGGGAAGGGAAAUAAAGUAUACAAGUCAUGCAUUAUCUGUUCUAGUCAACACAAUAAUUCAUUUUCUAUUGUUUUGACAUCUGGGUGGUGGGGGGAACCCACAACUCGCAUCCUUCAUUGACUAUGUUUGCAAAGUUUGGAGAGAAAAUUUGCAGGGUCCCAUUUUAGAUGGCUAAGUCUGAGAUGCCAAUUAGACAUGCCACAGGAGAUGUAGAAUAAGAGCUGAAUAUUUCAGUCUAGAAUUCAGUAAAGGAUUUCAACUGAAGAUCAAAUGUGGAAGUCAUCAGCCUAUAGAUGAUAAAGCACAUAGCAAUUCCGACAUAGAUUAUAAUGAAAUUUAUAAAUCUGAACACCACUGAUUUCUCAAUCCCCCUUCAUCCUCUUCCUUUUUCUCUCCUUUGUCUCCUCUUCCUCCUUUUUCCUUAUUUCUUUCUCCUCCUCAUUCUCCUUACACUCUUUCUUCUCCUCCUCCUCCUCCUCCUCCUCCUGCUCUGCUUGGUGAGCAGAUGGGACUGAGUUAAAUUACAAGCAUUUUCUUUGUUUCUCUAUCCUUUUCUUUAUGGCACUUUAGUAAAUGAGGCCUUGCUCCCCUCCCAUAGGUAUAUGUGUAUUGCUUAUACUGUCGGCUUUGAAAUAUUACUAAUAAGCUCUACUCACCUUGCUUGCAGUCCAUUUUAGAUUUUUGAAUGUCACCAACUAUAUCCUCUGUUUUUACCCACCUACCAAAACUUAAAUAGAAGCACAUAUUGUUUUAUUUCUUCAGAGACUGUCCAAUCUAAGGGUAAACUAGGCCAAUCCAUAAAGAUGGGUACAGAUUUGAGACUCAUGGACAGAGAGGACUUAGAUUUGACUCAUUGCUUUCACUUUGUGAAAGCCAAUUCAAAGUGUCUACAGUUAAGAAUAAAAAGAGAGGGCACACUGUCCCUCCAUGGCCCUGAUUUUUCCUCUGUGAGGCAUGCCAGUAAUUAGAUGGUCUCCAUAUAUGGCAUACAAGGAGAAUUUGGUAAAAUCAGAAGAGGCUGGAAAUUUUGGACGCUUUAAAUUCAGAUACUGAAGCAUGUCGGCAUUCAAAGACUCACCCUGUUACCAUAGAAAUAAAUCCUUGUCUUACCAGUUACACAUUUCUUUACUUAAUUCUAACUGAACCAUUAGGUUUAUUGAAUUUUUAGUACAAAAAGCUCACCAUAGCCUACUGUGUAGUAGAGAUCAAUUUACAUUUUACUGAAGAUUUCUAGAAGAGACCAUGGAAGGGUAUUACUAUACACAACAUACAACUUCGCACAAUGUCUCUCUUCUCAAGCUCCUGCUGCCAUGUAACUCAUAAUGUCCCUUCCCGAUUCACUGGCAAUUUUUCCCAUUUGCUACAUAGAGUUGUUUAGGCUGUGCCCCACAUCCAUCUCACCACUCAUCAAAGAGCUUUUCAGAGUAUAACAUCAUGACAAAAGUGUCUGGGAUAACAAAUGAUAGAUAAUAUCUCCUGUAACUCAGUUGUUCAAAAAAAAAUCACUGAGAGAUGAUAGUAUGGAUAUACAAAGAAGUCUCUUAUGGCCUUCAAGAGUACAUCUCUAAUGCUGUAAGAUCCUUGUGUUUUAAAAACUUUCAAACAAUCCAAUUCAUAUAUUGAAGCACUUAAGGAAAGACUAGAGACUAUAGCGGUUCAGCACUUUGCAAUGUGUGAAAAAAAUUAAGCCAUAAUUUCUGCUUUUACAUCUGUAUUUUAAAAAAUUAUUACUCCUUUACUAACAUUAUGAGCAUUUUAUGAACAUCAUAAUUUAUCUCCAUUGCCCUUCUCUUGGUCUGUUUCAGUUGAUAUAUAACACACUACAAAUUGCUAAAAGUAAGUUAUUACAGUGAGCAAUUUCUAAUUAUUUCCUCUGAUUAAAGCUUAGAUAUGUCAAGGAAGCUGAUCCCACAUGUUACUGUUUGAUGAGAAACUAUGCUUUAUAAUUAAUCUCUGCCAUUUAAAAAUAUAUAUGAAUUGGAUUUUGCAUUAAUAUCUGUGAAACGUUUUAAUUUUAUUUCUCAUUUCUUUCUGAUUUAUUAAGGGAUAAAUUAUCAUAGCCAACAUAUAUUAGAAAAAAUAAAAUACUAUUAUGAUUAAUAAGAGUAUUACAUGUUCUACUUGUAUAAGAGAAAACAGUUGAACACCUGUCAGAAAAGUUUAUAAUCAGAUGCAAAUCUAACUUGUGUCUGCUAUGUCUACAAACUUUCAGUUCCUUUACUUGUAUUCUUUAUAUUUUUAUCAAUUUCUCAGUUAUUAGUAGAAAAAAUUUUACCCCAUGCAGACUUUGUUAUAUACCAAUGGUUUCCAAACUUUAAAAGCCAGAGGAAUUGUUGAAACAUAUUGCUUGACCCAUCACCAAAGUUUAUAAUUAAGUAAGUCUAAGGAAGAACCCAAUAAUUUGCAUUUUUAAUAAAUUUUCAGGUGCCAGUGAUGCUGCCAGCCAAGGGACUACAUUUUGAGAACCACUACUAUAAGUUUCUUAAAAUCUAAUACAAUAAGUUUCUUCAUUGUUUUUAAUCAGGAU
rnacentral:lncRNA from 10 species